CACUGCUGAGGAGUCCCAUACUAGGACGAAACGGCUGUCCAGUUG
rnacentral:hammerhead_ribozyme from 1 species